rnacentral:rRNA from 1 species
GUGUCAGCCGCCGCGGUAAUACGUAGGGUGCGAGCGGUAAUCGGAAUUACUGGGCGUAAAGCGUGCGCAGGCGGUUAUAUAAGACAGAUGUGAAAUCCCCGGGCUCAACCUGGGACCUGCAUUUGUGACUGUAUAGCUAGAGUACGGUAGAGGGGGAUGGAAUUCCGCGUGUAGCAGUGAAAUGCGUAGAUAUGCGGAGGAACACCGAUGGCGAAGGCAAUCCCCUGGACCUGUACUGACGCUCAUGCACGAAAGCGUGGGGAGCAAACAGGAUUAGAUACCCUGGUAGUCCACGCCCUAAACGAUGUCAACGGGUGGUUGGGUCUUCACUGACUCAGUAACGAAGCUAACGCGUGAAGUUGACCGCCUGGGGAGUACGGUCGCAAGACUAAAACUUAAAGAAAUUGACGG